CCCUUAGAUGUUCUGGGCCGCACGCGCGCUACACUGACGAAUGCAACGAGCUUAUAACCUUGGCCGAAAGGUCUGGGUAAUCUCCAAAUUUCGUCGUGAUGGGGAUAGAUUAUUGCAAUUAUUAAUCUUCAACGAGGAAUGCCUAGUAAGCGCAAGUCAUCAGCUUGCGUCGAUUACGUCCCUGCCCUUUGUACACACCGCCCGUCGCUCCUACCGAUUGAAUGGUCCGGUGAAGCGUUCGGACCGUGGCCUUUGGACGGUUCGCCGUCUGUUGGCUGCGGGAAGUUCGUUAAACCUUAUCAUUUAGAGGAAGGAGAAGUCGUAACA
rnacentral:rRNA from 1 species